ACUUGUUCCGAAACGUCAGCCCACUAAACCCAAAUUUCGGGGAAAUUUCGCAUUGAAGCUUGAAGGAAACAUUUCGAGAGAACCACUGCAAUUUGGUUGAUAUCAACUCAGUCGCUCAAUAAUGGCAAGAAAUUCGAAACUCCGAAUGGAAACUUCGACUGCCAUCACUGUCCAUUGAAGUCGACGAACUAUAAGUGCACUUGGAUCAUGAGGAAAACGCAUGGCAGUUAGGACGCUGGACACUAAUGCAUCCUUUUGCCAAUGUGGCAACGUCUUCUUUAGGACCGUGGAAAUCGAAUUCCCUUGACCAGGUUUUGGACGACGCAUCAUUCCCUACGCGUCAGUUUAAAUCAGGAUCGUCGAAACAGAAUCCCCUUGUUCAGGUCUUGGAGGACGCAUCAUUCCCUACGCGUCAGUUUAAAUCAGGACCUUGAAAUGGAAUCCCCUUGACCCGGUCUUGGGCUUCUGGAAUCAAACACGCUUCGAAAUCACCGACAAUUCCGAAUUUUCGAAAAAAAAUAGAAAAGGAAAAGGAAAUUACAACUGUAAUCCAUUUUACUAGGUCACUUCUCUCUCUCUUUCUCUCAACCGUCUGAUUAAAUCUUGGCUGAUUGUGCAUAGAUUCCUUC